rnacentral:rRNA from 1 species
CACAUGCAGUCGAACGAGCGAGAGAGAGCUUGCUUUCUCAAGCGAGUGGCGAACGGGUGAGUAACGCGUGAGGAACCUGCCUCAAAGAGGGGGACAACAGUUGGAAACGACUGCUAAUACCGCAUAAGCCCACAGGUCGGCAUCGACCAGAGGGAAAAGGAGCAAUCCGCUUUGAGAUGGCCUCGCGUCCGAUUAGCUAGUUGGUGAGGUAACGGCCCACCAAGGCAACGAUCGGUAGCCGGACUGAGAGGUUGAACGGCCACAUUGGGACUGAGACACGGCCCAGACUCCUACGGGAGGCAGCAGUGGGGAAUAUUGCACAAUGGGGGAAACCCUGAUGCAGCGACGCCGCGUGGAGGAAGAAGGUCUUCGGAUUGUAAACUCCUGUUGUUGGGGAAGAUAAUGACGGUACCCAACAAGGAAGUGACGGCUAACUACGUGCCAGCAGCCGCGGUAAAACGUAGGUCACAAGCGUUGUCCGGAAUUACUGGGUGUAAAGGGAGCGCAGGCGGGAAGACAAGUUGGAAGUGAAAUCCAUGGGCUCAACCCAUGAACUGCUUUCAAAACUGUUUUUCUUGAGUAGUGCAGAGGUAGGCGGAAUUCCCGGUGUAGCGGUGGAAUGCGUAGAUAUCGGGAGGAACACCAGUGGCGAAGGCGGCCUACUGGGCACCAACUGACGCUGAGGCUCGAAAGUGUGGGUAGCAAACAGGAUUAGAUACCCUGGUAGUCCACACCGUAAACGAUGAUUACUAGGUGUUGGAGGAUUGACCCCUUCAGUGCCGCAGUUAACACAAUAAGUAAUCCACCUGGGGAGUACGACCGC